rnacentral:lncRNA from 1 species
CCUCAUUGCAUUUUCUCGUCUUCUUGAUUCUUAGUUGAGAAUUUAUCAACCCUAAUAUCUUGAAGCCAAUGAGUGCUAAUGUUCAUCUCUAUUUUAUUGUUUGUUCUUAUUAUUGUUUCUCUAAUGAAUCGUGGGCUAUUAAAUUAUAUAGUAUGGGCUUUAUUUCCCAAUUCUCCAAUUGGGUUUUAUCUGAAUCCAUCUAAUUUCUUCUUCAUUUUCUUUCUU